rnacentral:rRNA from 1 species
GAUGAAUGCUGGCGGCGUGCCUAAUACAUGCAAGUUGAGCGGUAAGGCCCUUCGGGGUACACGAGCGGCGGACGGCUGAGGAACACGUAGGAACGCACCCCAAAGUGAGGAAUAAGCACUCGAAAGAGUGUCUAAUACCGCAUAUGAUCUACGGAUUAAAGCAUUUAUGCGCUUUGGGAGCGGCCUGCGUCUGAUUAGAUAGUUGGUGAGGUAAUGGCUCACCAAGUCGACGAUCAGUAACUGGUUCGAGAGGACGAACAGUCAGACUGGAACUGAGACACGGUCCAGACUCCUACGGGAGGCAGCAGUAGGGAAUCUUUCACAAUGGGCGAAAGCCUGAUGGAGCAACGCCGCGUGCGGGAUGAAGGUCUUCGGAUCGUAAACCGCUUUUAUUUGCGAAAAAUAUGAUUGUAACAAAUGAAUAAGGGUCGGCUAACUACGUGCCAGCAGCCGCGGUCAUACGUAGGACCCAAGCAUUAUUCGGAGUGACUGGGCGUAAAGAGUUGCGUAGGUGGUUUGUUAAGUAGUAAAUUAAAGCUGGUGGCUCAACCAUUCAGUUGUUUACUAAACUGGCAGACUCGAGAAUAUCAGGGGUAGCUGGAAUUUCUAGUGUAGGGGUAAAAUCCGUAGAUACUAGAAGGAACACCGACAGCGUAGGCAGGCUACUGGGAUAUUUCUGACACUAAGGCACGAAAGCAUGG